ensembl:lncRNA
UGAAAAGCCUGGUAAACUUGCUUCUCCAGUCCUCCAGAAGCCUACUUGAUGGGGUAUCAAGAAGUGGGUGUACAAAUAUAGAUGGGGACAACCUCUGAUGAGAUUAUGGCAAUUUUCAGGCAAAACUAAUUUUCUUUUUGAAGAACUGAGUGUGUGGAAAACAAAUGUUCUGUGCAAAAUGAAAGUAAAGUACUUUAUUCUCCAGCUGAGAACAUUCAGAGCCAAGGCAACUCAAAUCUGCUUCCCUAAAUUGCAGAUUUAUUACAUCUGAAGACACAAGAACUUUUGCUGCUGAUGAACACGGCAAAUCUCAUGUAGCAAGAUCUAGCACCUUUUUAGCUUUUUCCUUGCAUGGCCUCUAGAAGCUUCCAUUUCUGCAAAUAGAAAGAUGCUGAGAUGAUUUUCCCCAGUGGUAAGGUAUGCCAGGAUAUGGUUACGUCAACUCAGUCUGAAAGAAAUGUUUGAACUUCCCCCUAGGAGAUUACCCAAUAAGGUGGUGAGCGACUGCAAGAGAAGAAAAAAGAAACAAGGAAGAGAAUUUAUGUUAGAGACACUGUCCUCCUGCUAAUGCCAAACUAGUGCUGUCAUCUUCCUUGGAGUAGGCUGACAAUUCCAAUUCGAUGGAUCUAGGAUAUUAGUACAAAACACAAAGAUGUAUUUCUCAUGUUUGUCUAGUGACUCUUCCCUAGACAGUGUUUGUGCAAGCUGUUUCUGGAAGAGAAGAUUAAAUGCAAAUCCUUGGAAUAAGUGUACUGAUUGCUGAGCUCUUCUGGUCAGCUAUCUAGGAUGUGAAAUACUGCAAUGACAACCAGCUUUUGCUGGCAGAAGAAAAGCCUGGUAAAGAAGCCUGGUAUUGACUUCAAUGACCACUCAGGAAACAAAGCUCCAAGUAAG